GACGAACGCUGGCGGCGUGCUUAACACAUGCAAGUCGAACGGUGAAGCGCCUUCUUUUUUGGUGGGUGUGGAUGCGUGGCGAACGGGUGAGUAACACGUGAGUAACCUGCCCCCUUCUUCUGGAUAACCGCAUGAAAGUGUGGCCAAUACGGGAUAUUCUGGGUCUGUCGCAUGAUGGGUCUGGUUCAGAUAUUGUUUCGGUGGGGGAUGGGCUCGCGGCGUAUCAGCGUGUUGGGGGGGUGAUGGCCUACCAGGGCGGUGACGGGUAGCCGGCCUGAGAGGGUGGGCGGUCACACGGGGACUGAGGCACAGCCGGGACUCGUAAGAGGGCCAGCAGUGGGGAGUAGUGCACAAUGGGGGAAAGUCUGAUGCAGCGACGCCGCGUGAGGGAUGGAGGCCGUGGGGUUGUGAACGUCUUUCGCGAGUGAAGCAGGCCUGCCUCGUUUGUGGGUGGGUUGACGGUAGCUGGAGAAGAAGCGCCGGCUAACUACGUG
rnacentral:rRNA from 1 species